UGGUAAUGAUGGCAGAGAGGUCACACCCGUUCCCAUACCGAACACGGAAGUUAAGCUCUCUAGCGCCGAUGGUAGUUGGGACCUUGUCCCUGUGAGAGUAGGACGUCGCCAAGCU
rnacentral:rRNA from 2 species